GAGUGCUUGCACUCUGUGAAACAAGAUACAGGCUAGCGGCGGACGGGUGAGUAACACGUGGGUAACCUGCCCAAGAGAUCGGGAUAACACCUGGAAACAGAUGCUAAUACCGGAUAACAACAGAUGAUGCCUAUCAACUGUUUAAAAGAUGGUUCUGCUAUCACUCUUGGAUGGACCUGCGGUGCAUUAGCUAGUUGGUAGGGUAACGGCCUACCCAGGCGAUGAUGCAUAGCCGAGUUGAGAGACUGAUCGGCCACAUUGGGACUGAGACACGGCCCAAACUCCUACGGGAGGCAGCAGUAGGGAAUCUUCCACAAUGGACGCAAGUCUGAUGGAGCAACGCCGCGUGAGUGAAGAAGGGUUUCGGCUCGUAAAGCUCUGUUGUUGGUGAAGAAGGACAGGGGUAGUAACUGACCUUUGUUUGACGGUAAUCAAUUAGAAAGUCACGGCUAACUACGUGCCAGCAGCCGCGGUAAUACGUAGGUGGCAAGCGUUGUCCGGAUUUAUUGGGCGUAAAGCGAGUGCAGGCGGCUCGAUAAGUCUGAUGUGAAAGCCUUCGGCUCAACCGGAGAAUUGCAUCAGAAACUGUCGAGCUUGAGUACAGAAGAGGAGAGUGGAACUCCAUGUGUAGCGGUGAAAUGCGUAGAUAUAUGGAAGAACACCGGUGGCGAAGGCGGCUCUCUGGUCUGUUACUGACGCUGAGGCUCGAAAGCAUGGGUAGCGAACAGGAUUAGAUACCCUGGUAGUCCAUGCCGUANACGAUGAGUGCUAAGUGUUGGGAGGUUUCCGCCUCUCAGUGCUGCAGCUAACGCAUUAAGCACUC
rnacentral:rRNA from 1 species